AAAUGUAAAGAAAUGGGACUGAAACAAUCAUCCCCUCAUGGAUCACCACAUUUUAUUCAGCUGCUCUGUCUGGCUAAAUGGAUGUUUCCUUCCAUCAUCAUUGUUCCAUACACAUCUCUCUAUAAGCCGUAUUUUCAGUGGAAUAUGACAAUCCUCCCUGACAAAGAAAAUAUUGCCCUGUUCAGUCAAGAGUGUGCAUAUAUGCAUGCACACAGAGAAACAUCUAUUUCUUUUUUCCAAAUCCUUACAAUAUUCUUGCUAUAGAUCUACCAGAGUCAUACCAAGGAAAUGCUGUAUGAAAUU
rnacentral:snRNA from 1 species